UACAGAGGUCUCAAGCGUUGUUCGGAUUCAUUGGGCGUAAAGGGCGCGUAGGCGGUGGGGUAAGUCUGGUGUGAAAUCUCGGAGCUCAACUUCGAAAUUGCACUGGAUACUGCUCUGCUAGAGGGCUGGAGAGGAGAUCGGAAUUCACGGUGUAGCAGUGAAAUGCGUAGAUAUCGUGAGGAAGACCAGUGGCGAAGGCGGGAUCUCUGGACAGCUCCUGGACGCUGAGGCGCGAAGGCUAGGGAGCAAACGGG
rnacentral:rRNA from 1 species